rnacentral:rRNA from 1 species
AACGAACGCUGGCGGCAGGCCUAACACAUGCAAGUCGAGCGCUGUAGCGAAUACAGAGCGGCGCACGGGUGAGUAACACGUGGGAACGUGCCCUUUGGUUCGGAAUAACUCGAGGGAAACGUUGAGCUAAUACCGGAUGAGCCCUAACGGGGAAAGAUUUAUCGCCGAAGGAGCGGCCCGCGUUGGAUUAGCUAGUUGGUGGGGUAAAGCUACCAAGGCGACGAUCCAUAGCUGGUUUGAGAGAACGACCAGCCACACUGGGACUGAGACACGGCCCAGACUCCUACGGGAGGCAGCAGUGGGGAAUC